UACGGCUCAGUAACACGUGGACAACCUACCCUCAGGUCAGGUAUAAACCCGGGAAACUGGGUAUAAUCCCUGAUAGGUCUCGAACGCUGGAAUGCAUCGAGGCCGAAAGCUCCGGCGCCUGAGGAUGGGUCUGCGGCCUAUCAGGUUGUAGUGGGUGUAGUGUACCUACUAGCCUACGACGGGUACGGGUUGUGAGAGCAAGAGCCCGGAGAUGGAUUCUGAGACACGAAUCCAGGCCCUACGGGGUGCAGCAGGCGCGAAAACUUUACAAUGCUGGAAACAGCGAUAAGGGAACCUCGAGUGCCAGGUUACAAAUCUGGCUGUCGUGAUGCCUAAAAAGCAUCGCAUAGCAAGGGCCGGGCAAGACCGGUGCCAGCCGCCGCGGUAACACCGGCGGCUCGAGUGGUAACCGUUAUUAUUGGGUCUAAAGGGUCUGUAGCCGGCCGGAUAAGUCUCUUGGGAAAUCUGGCAGCUUAACUGUCAGGCUUUCAGGAGAUACUGUCUGGCUCGAGGCCGGGAGAGGUGAGAGGUACUUCAGGGGUAGGGGUGAAAUCUUGUAAUCCUUGAAGGACCACCAGUGGCGAAGGCGUCUCACCAGAACGGACCUGACGGCAAGGGACGAAAGCUAGGGGCACGAACCGGAUUAGAUACCCGGGUAGUCCUAGCCGUAAACGAUACUCGCUAGGUGUCGGCCACGGUGCGACCGUUGUCGGUGCCGUAGGGAAGCCGUGAAGCGAGCCACCUGGGAAGUACGGCCGCAAGGCUGAAACUUAAAGGAAUUGGCGGGGGAGCACA
rnacentral:rRNA from 1 species